GACGAACGCUGGCGGCGUGCUUAACACAUGCAAGUCGAACGGUGAAGCGCCUUCCUUUUUGGUGGGUGUGGAUGAGUGGCGAACGGGUGAGUAACACGUGAGUAACCUGCCCCCUUCUUCUGGAUAACCGCAUGAAAGUGUGGCUAAUACGGGAUAUUCUGGGUCUGUCGCAUGAUGGGUCUGGGAAAGAUAUUGUUUCGGUGGGGGAUGGGCUCGCGGCCUAUCAGCUUGUUGGUGGGGUGAUGGCCUACCAAGGCGGUGACGGGUAGCCGGCCUGAGAGGGUGGACGGUCACGCUGGGGCUGAGACACGGACCAGACUCCUACGGGAGGCAGCAGUGGGGAAUAUUGCACAAUGGGCGCAAGGCUGAUGCAGCGACGCCGCGUGAGGGAUGGAGGCCUUCGGGUUGUGAACCUCUUUCGCCAGUGAAGCAGGCCUGCCUCGUUUGUGGGUGGGUUGACGGUAGCUGGAUAAGAAGCGCCGGCUAACUACGUG
rnacentral:rRNA from 1 species